rnacentral:rRNA from 1 species
UACGGAGGAUGCAAGCGUUAUCCGGAUUUACUGGGUUUAAAGGGUGCGUAGGUGGGUUGGUAAGUCAGUGGUGAAAUACUUUCGCUUAACGAAGGAACUGCCAUUGAUACUACCAGUCUUGAAUACAGUGGAGGUAGGCGGAAUGCGUCAUGUAGCGGUGAAAUGCUUAGAUAUGACGCAGAACACCAAUUGCGAAGGCAGCUUGCUACACUGUUAUUGACACUGAGGCACGAAAGCGUGGGGAUCAAACAGG